GUGCUCGCUUGGGCAGGACAUAUACUAAAACUGGAACGAUACAGAGAAGAUUAGCAUGGCCCCUGCGCUAAACUGACAAGCAAAUUCGUGAAGCGUUCCAUAUAAAA
ensembl:snRNA U6 U6 spliceosomal RNA